GCUGCCUUAGCUCAGCUGGUAGAGCAACUGACUUGUAAUCAGUAGGUCGUGGGUUCGACUCCUACAGGCAGCA
rnacentral:tRNA from 1 species